GGAGACUCACGGCGCUGGUGGCCGAGCGCGACUCCGGGCUCCGGAAGCUCCGCUCCGAGCUGGCCAAGUGCGACUCCACCAUCCGACUUUUCACGGUGGAACUCGGCGAGAGACACACGAAAAUCGGGGAGCUCACGGCAGAUGUCGAGUGCUGCAAUAAAAAGCUCCGGGAACACGAGG